rnacentral:rRNA from 1 species
AUGAGGCUCCUCAUGUCCAGGAAGCGGCACAGGCUGCGCUGCCGCCGGCGAAUCCGAGACCGUGGACCGGUUGCUUUGGUGGCUAAAAGAAAGAGUCUGCGCUGCCAGCAAGAUGAUAACUAUCAUGUUGACAGAGGAAUAUCUUGUCCCGAUCUUCCAGAGGAUAUCUUGCGGCAUAUUCAUGCCAAAAUGACACUUAGAGAUGCUGCCCGUGCUACUUGCGCAUCGCACGCAUUCCGACACAACUGGAUAUGCCGUCCCAACCUUACAUUCAGUCUGGGAACACUUGGCUUGAAUAGAAAUGCGUCUAGGGAUGUAAUAACAAGAGAUCUUAUCAGCAAGAUUGACCUGAUUAUGCAAAAUCACUCAGGCAUCGGCGUGAAGACACUAGACAUUGAUCUCUAUAGUUGUGACAACAUCGACUUCGCCUAUCUUGAUAGUUGGCUUCGUAUUGCUGUUACUCCAGGGAUUGAAGAACUGAUCCUGACGCUGCCUCUACCCAGCAUUGUUUUCGAGAAUGCUCUACCCAUCAUUUCAGUGUAUAACUUCCCUUGUUCACUAUUAUCUAACGGGAGCGGAAACUCAAUUCAAUAUCUCAACCUAUGUUACUGUACCUUGCGUCCCACGGCUGGUCUUGGUUGCCUAAGAAGCCUGACAAGACUGCAUAUGAGUUGCACGCGGAUUACUGGGGAUGAAUUAUGGUGUCUCCUUUCCAAUUCUCCCGCUUUGGUGUGCUUGAAACUCCUGCACUGCGAGGAGAUAAUUUCCUUGAAGAUACCUUCUCUGCUGCAGCGUCUCCGUUUUCUGGAGGUGGCCUAUUGCGAUAGGCUGCAGGUGGUAGAGAGCAAUGCUCCAAAUCUCACCACUUUUUACUUUGCAGGUUUCUUAGGUCAAAUCUCACUUGGGGGCUCACUGCAAUUGAAAACACUACGCAUGAUAUGCUUCCGCCAGACCAACAUUGUCUGUUAUGCUCGGCAAAAUCUUUUGUCUAUUGCGCCAAAUGUUGAAACACUUACCAUAUCAUCACUGAAUGAGAUGGUGAACACACCGAUGCUAUCUAGCAAGUUUCUCCACCUCAAGCUCUUGCAGAUUUCAUUAGUGGGAAUGGCUUUUUCCGGAGCUUAUGAUUAUCUUUCUCUGGUUUCUUUUGUUGAUGCUUCUCCUUGCUUGGAGAAUUUUGUAUUAGCUAUAUCCCAGCAUCGCAUGGGGCAUGCUUCGAUUCUUGGAGAGCCCUCACAUGAUCUGAGGCAGAUCCCUCAGCAGCGCCAUGCCAAGCUCAAGAGUGUGACAAUCACUGGCUUUUGCUCAGCAAAGAGCUUGGUUGAGCUAACAUGUCAUAUCCUCGAGAAUACAACAUCACUCGACUGCCUUACGCUGGACACCACAUGUCAUCCUAGUUGCGCUGUCACAAAAUUUGACAAGUGUCACCCCCUCAUGGAUGGGGAUAGCCUGGUGGAGGCACAGAAAGCGCUCUUGGCCAUCAGAAGAUACGUUCUGGGGAAAGUCCCCUCUAUGGUCAAGUUAAAUAUCCUGGAGCCUUGCAGCCGAUGCCAUGCCGUUGAAUCUUUGGUGUCAACUGCCAAGUUGUCUUAG